GGGCGCAAGCCUGGUGCAGCGACGCCGCGUGAGGGAUGGAGGCCUUCGGGUUGUAAACCUCUUUUAUCGGGGAGCAAGCGUGAGUGAGUUUACCCGUUGAAUAAGCACCGGCUAACUACGUGCCAGCAGCCGCGGUAAUACGUAGGGUGCAAGCGUUAUCCGGAAUUAUUGGGCGUAAAGGGCUCGUAGGCGGUUCGUCGCGUCCGGUGUGAAAGUCCAUCGCUUAACGGUGGAUCCGCGCCGGGUACGGGCGGGCUUGAGUGCGGUAGGGGAGACUGGAAUUCCCGGUGUAACGGUGGAAUGUGUAGAUAUCGGGAAGAACACC
rnacentral:rRNA from 1 species